UACGGGGGGGAGCAAGCGUUGUUCGGAUUUACUGGGCGUAAAGGGCGCGUAGGCGGCCACUGCAAGUCGGUUGUGAAAUCUCCGGGCUUAACCCGGAAAGGUCAAUCGAUUCUGCAGGGCUAGAGUGCGGAAGGGGCAACUGGAAUUCCUGGUGUAGCGGUGAAAUGCGCAGAAUAUCAGGAGGAACACCGGUGGCGAAGGGCGGGGAUCUCCGUGGGGCCCGAACUGACUGAC
rnacentral:rRNA from 1 species